rnacentral:piRNA from 1 species
UGCAAUUUUUUUGAUAUUUCC